rnacentral:rRNA from 1 species
GGCCUUGGCCGGCUGCCUUAACAUGCAAGUCGAACGGUAACAGGGAGCUUGCUCCGCUGACGAGUGGCGAACGGGUGAGUAAUACAUCGGAACGUGCCCAGUAAUGGGGGAUAGCUCGGCGAAAGCCGGAUUAAUACCGCAUACGCCCUGAGGGGGAAAGUGGGGGACCGCAAGGCCUCACGUUAUUGGAGCGGCCGAUGGCUGAUUAGCUAGUUGGUAGGGUAAAGGCCUACCAAGGCGACGAUCAGUAGCUGGUCUGAGAGGACGAUCAGCCACACUGGGACUGAGACACGGCCCAGACUCCUACGGGAGGCAGCAGUGGGGAAUUUUGGACAAUGGGGGAAACCCUGAUCCAGCAAUGCCGCGUGUGCGAAGAAGGCCUUCGGGUUGUAAAGCACUUUUGUCAGGGAAGAAAUCCUUUGGGCUAAUACCCUAGGGGGAUGACGGUACCUGAAGAAUAAGCACCGGCUAACUACGUGCCAGCAGCCGCGGUAAUACGUAGGGUGCAAGCGUUAAUCGGAAUUACUGGGCGUAAAGCGUGCGCAGGCGGUUGUGUAAGACAGGUGUGAAAUCCCCGGGCUUAACCUGGGAAUUGCAUUUGUGACUGCAC